rnacentral:rRNA from 1 species
AAUAGAUACCCAGGUAGUCCACACCGUAAACGUUGGGCGCUAGGUGUGGGGCCUAUUCCAUGGGUUCCGUGCCGCAGCUAACGCAUUAAGCGCCCCGCCUGGGGAGUACGGCCGCAAGGCUAAAACUCAAAGGAAUUGACGGGGGCCCGCACAAGCGGCGGAGCAUGCGGAUUAAUUCGAUGCAACGCGAAGAACCUUACCUGGGUUUGACAUACACCGGAAAGCGCCAGAGAUGGUGCCCCUUUUGUCGGUGUACAGGUGGUGCAUGGCUGCGUCAGCUCGUGUCGUGAGAUGUUGGGUUAAGUCCCGCAACGAGCGCAACCCUCGUCCUAUGUUGCCAGCACGUUAUGGUGGGGACUCAUAGGAGACUGCCGGGGUCAACUCGGAGGAAGGUGGGGAUGACGUCAAGUCAUCAUGCCCCUUAUGUCCAGGGCUUCACGCAUGCUACAAUGGCCGGUACAAAGGGCUGCGAUGCUGCAAGGCGGAGCGAAUCCCAAAAAGCCGGUCUCAGUUCGGAUUGGGGUCUGCAACUCCG